GACGAACGCUGGCGGCGUGCUUAAUACAUGCAAGCCAACUGAACUUGAGGUAGUAAUAUUUCAAGGGAGGUGGCGCACGGGUGAGUAACACGUAGGUAAUCUGCCUUUAGGUCUGACAUAAUCCAGCGAAAGCUGGACUAAAAUCAGAUGAUGCAGCGGCUCGACAUCGAGACAGUUGUUAAACCUUCGGGGCCUAAAGAUGAGCCUGCGUCUGAUUAGGUAGUUGGCGGAGUAAGAGCCCACCAAGCCUUCGAUCAGUAGCUGGUCUGAGAGGAUGAUCAGCCACACUGGAACUGAGACACGGUCCAGACUCCUACGGGAGGCAGCAGUAAGGAAUAUUGCUCAAUGGCCGAAAGGCUGAAGCAGCAACGCCGCGUGGAGGAUGAAAUACUUUUGUAUGUAAACUCCUGUAAGAGGGAAAA
rnacentral:rRNA from 1 species